UACGUAGGUGGCGAGCGUUGUCCGGAUUUACUGGGCGUAAAGGGCUUGUAGGCGGUCCGUUAAGUCCGAUGUGAAAUCUCCCGGCUCAACUGGGAGAGGUCAUUGGAUACUGGCGGACUAGAGGGGGGGUAGAGGAAAGCAGAAUUCCUGGUGUAGCGGUGAAAUGCGUAGAUAUCUGGAGGAACACCGGAGGCGAAGGCGAAUCACUGGACCGCUUCUGACGCUGAGGCGCGAAAGCUAGGGGAGCAAACAGG
rnacentral:rRNA from 1 species